rnacentral:rRNA from 1 species
UAAUACGUAGGGAGCAAGCGUUGUUCGGAUUUACUGGGCGUAAAGGGCGCGUAGGCGGCGUGUUAAGUCAGCUGUGAAAUCUCCAAGCUCAACUUGGAACGGCCAGCUGAUACUGAUGUGCUAGAGUGCAGAAGGGGCAAUCGGAAUUCUUGGUGUAGCGGUGAAAUGCGUAGAUAUCAAGAGGAACACCUGAGGUGAAGACGGGUUGCUGGGCUGACACUGACGCUGAGGCGCGAAAGCCAGGGGAGCAAACGGGAUUAGAUACCCCGGUAGUCCUGGCCCUAAACGAUGAAUACUUGGUGUCUGGAGUUUCAAUACUCCGGGUGCCGUCGCUAACGUUUUAAGUAUUCCGCCUGGGGAGUACGCACGCAAGUGUG